UUGCUUUGAAGUUUGACAGUAAAAACAAAAUACAAAAUCCAACCAACUCGGUAGUUACCCAUUUAGUUUACAAUGAUACACACACCACCGUAGCAUAUAGCAGAAGUAGAUAACAGAAUCUAUCUUCGUUGGAUAAGAAAUUUUCCCACUUUCGCAAAAGCCUUGUGGCUUCUAACAAUGGCUUCUUCAGUUACUUCUUCUUUUCAAAUCAGUUGAUUAGGAGGAAAUAGGAAUAAUUGUGUAUGGAAUGGAGAGAAGGAAAUAGGACAACAACUUGGUAACAAGGCACUGCACUUGUGGGAAGAAUGGAGAACUGCUCAAAAUAUGAGAAACCAAGCUACACAAACUGUCAUGGUACAGCAGCAAAUACAGUGGCAUAAACCAAGCUUUUGUUGGUUUAAAUGUAACGUAGACGCGGGAUUUCACAAUGUGCACGGAAAGACAAGCAUGGGGUGGUGUAUUCGUGAUCAUGAUGGUCGUUUUGUAGUGGCAGGAACCUCUUGGAAGUACGGUAAUCGCUCUAUCAUUGAAGGAGAGGUAUGGCUUUACUUGAUGCUAUGAAGGAAGUGGAACGCAUAGGCCUAACAAAUGUCAUUUUUGAAACCGACUUCAAAAGUGUUGUUGAUGACAUCCAUCGACGAGUCAAUGGCAUCUUCGAUUUAGCUCUUUAAUUGUAAUGACAAGCGAACUCGGUUGCUCAUAAGCUUGCUAGAGCGGCUGUUUCAUGGCCUCGUCGCUAUAUCUUUGAUUUGCCACCUACUUGUAUUGAUACUUUAUUAGUUAAUGAAAUGAUGAGUUUCCUGUUGUAAGAAAAAAAAAAGUGUACAGCUAUAAAUUUUCUAAGUAACAACCAUACUCAU